AAAUAAGAAGUAAAAAAAUUACAUAUUAAUUUCGACUUAAUAAUAGAUUAUUAUAAUCCUUAUUUA
rnacentral:tRNA from 1 species